rnacentral:rRNA from 1 species
UACGAAGGGGGCUAGCGUUGCUCGGAAUCACUGGGCGUAAAGCGCACGUAGGCGGCUUUCUAAGUCAGGGGUGAAAUCCUGGAGCUCAACUCCAGAACUGCCUUUGAUACUGAGAAGCUUGAGUCCGGGAGAGGUGAGUGGAACUGCGAGUGUAGAGGUGAAAUUCGUAGAUAUUCGCAAGAACACCAGUGGCGAAGGCGGCUCACUGGCCCGGUACUGACGCUGAGGUGCGAAAGCGUGGGGAGCAAACAGGG